rnacentral:tmRNA from 1 species
GGGGGUGACUGGCUUCGACAGGAAGUUCAGUUUGCCUGUGUGCAAGACGAAGGCGGACGAACCUUCUAAAAAUCGUCCAAACCUAAGUGCAAACAAAACUGCACGGGGGGUUCUCUCUCCUAUUCAGGUGGGAAAUCUCGGCUUCGCCUUCGCCUAAACGCGCGGUGCGACCGUUCACUCGAUGAUUCCGAUGCGCUGAUGUGAACGUCAUAUUAUCGGAUACGGCUUUUAAUUCACUCCGACUAAAAGCUUAAAGAAAGAGAGUCCGACGCACGACUAUGUUGCGCAUUCUGUAGGUCGUAUGUCUAAACAAAAUUGAAUGCCCUACGUCUUGUAGAUUCGCUUGCAGAUCAUUUUCUGGACUCGGGAUCAUUCCCCGACACCUCCACCC